UACGUAGGGUGCGAGCGUUAAUCGGAAUUACUGGGCGUAAAGCGUGCGCAGGCGGUUUUGUAAGCCAGAUGUGAAAGCCCCGGGCUUAACCUGGGAAUGGCAUUUGGGACUGCAAGGCUUGAGUGCGGCAGAGGAGACUGGAAUUCCCGGUGUAGCAGUGAAAUGCGUAGAUAUCGGGAGGAAUACCGAUGGCGAAGGCAGGUCUCUGGGCCGAUACUGACGCUGAGGAGCGAAAGCGUGGGGAGCGAACAGG
rnacentral:rRNA from 1 species